rnacentral:rRNA from 1 species
GAUUGAACGCUGGCGGAAUGCUUUACACAUGCAAGUCGAGCGGCAGCGCGGGGCAACCUGGCGGCGAGCGGCGAACGGGUGAGUAAUGCAUCGGAACAUGUCCAUGUCGUGGGGGAUAGCCCGGCGAAAGCCGGAUUAAUACCGCAUACGCCCGAGAGGGGAAAGUGGGGACCGCAAGGCCUCACGCGAUUGGGUUGGCCGAUGUCCGAUUAGCUAGUUGGCGGGGUAAUGGCCCACCAAGGCGAUGAUCGGUAGCUGGUCUGAGAGGAUGAUCAGCCACACUGGGACUGAGACACGGCCCAGACUCCUACGGGAGGCAGCAGUGGGGAAUUUUGGACAAUGGGGCAACCCUGAUCCAGCCAUUCCGCGUGAGUGAAGAAGGCCUGGU